AUAGAGUCAAGUGAAUAAGUGCAUCAGGCGGAUGCCUUGGCGAUGAUAGGCGACGAAGGACGUGUAAGCCUGCGAAAAGCGCGGGGGAGCUGGCAAUAAAGCUAUGAUUCCGCGAUGUCCGAAUGGGGAAACCCACUGCAUUCUGUGCAGUAUCCUAAGUUGAAUACAUAGGCUUAGAGAAGCGAACCCGGAGAACUGAACCAUCUAAGUACCCGGAGGAAAAGAAAUCAACCGAGAUUCCGCAAGUAGUGGCGAGCGAACGCGGAGGAGCCUGUACGUAAUAACUGUCGAGAUAGAAGAACAAGCUGGGAAGCUUGACCAUAGCGGGUGACAGUCCCGUAUUCGAAAUCUCAACAGCGGUACUAAGCGUACGAAAAGUAGGGCGGGACACGUGAAAUCCUGUCUGAAUAUGGGGGGACCAUCCUCCAAGGCUAAAUACUCAUCAUCGACCGAUAGUGAACCAGUACCGUGAGGGAAAGGCGAAAAGAACCCCGGGAGGGGAGUGAAACAGAACCUGAAACCUGAUGCAUACAAACAGUGGGAGCGCCCUAGUGGUGUGACUGCGUACCUUUUGUAUAAUGGGUCAACGACUUACAUUCAGUAGCGAGCUUAACCGGAUAGGGGAGGCGUAGGGAAACCGAGUCUUAAUAGGGCGAUGAGUUGCUGGGUGUAGACCCGAAACCGAGUGAUCUAUCCAUGGUCAGGUUGAAGGUGCCGUAACAGGUACUGGAGGACCGAACCCACGCAUGUUGCAAAAUGCGGGGAUGAGCUGUGGGUAGGGGUGAAAGGCUAAACAAACUCGGAGAUAGCUGGUUCUCCCCGAAAACUAUUUAGGUAGUGCCUCGAGCAAGACACUGAUGGGGGUAAAGCACUGUUAUGGCUAGGGGGUUAUUGCAACUUACCAACCCAUGGCAAACUCAGAAUACCAUCAAGUGGUUCCUCGGGAGACAGACAGCGGGUGCUAACGUCCGUUGUCAAGAGGGAAACAACCCAGACCGCCGGCUAAGGUCCCAAAUGAUAGAUUAAGUGGUAAACGAAGUGGGAAGGCACAGACAGCCAGGAUGUUGGCUUAGAAGCAGCCAUCAUUUAAAGAAAGCGUAAUAGCUCACUGGUCGAGUCGUCCUGCGCGGAAGAUGUAACGGGGCUCAAAUCUAUAACCGAAGCUGCGGAUGCCGGUUUACCGGCAUGGUAGGGGAGCGUUCUGUAGGCUGAUGAAGGUGCAUUGUAAAGUGUGCUGGAGGUAUCAGAAGUGCGAAUGUUGACAUGAGUAGCGAUAAAGCGGGUGAAAAGCCCGCUCGCCGAAAGCCCAAGGUUUCCUACGCAACGUUCAUCGGCGUAGGGUAAGUCGGCCCCUAAGGCGAGGCAGAAAUGCGUAGUCGAUGGGAAACAGGUUAAUAUUCCUGUACUUGAUUCAAAUGCGAUGUGGGGACGGAGAAGGUUAGGUUGGCAAGCUGUUGGAAUAGCUUGUUUAAGCCGGUAGGUGGAAGACUUAGGCAAAUCCGGGUUUUCUUAACACCGAGAAGUGAUGACGAGUGUCUACGGACACGAAGCAACCGAUACCACGCUUCCAGGAAAAGCCACUAAGCUUCAGUUUGAAUCGAACCGUACCGCAAACCGACACAGGUGGGCAGGAUGAGAAUUCUAAGGCGCUUGAGAGAACUCGGGAGAAGGAACUCGGCAAAUUGAUACCGUAACUUCGGGAGAAGGUAUGCCCUCUAAGGUUAAGGACUUGCUCCGUAAGCCCCGGAGGGUCGCAGAGAAUAGGUGGCUGCGACUGUUUAUUAAAAACACAGCACUCUGCCAACACGAAAGUGGACGUAUAGGGUGUGACGCCUGCCCGGUGCCGGAAGGUUAAUUGAAGAUGUGCAAGCAUCGGAUCGAAGCCCCGGUAAACGGCGGCCGUAACUAUAACGGUCCUAAGGUAGCGAAAUUCCUUGUCGGGUAAGUUCCGACCCGCACGAAUGGCGUAACGAUGGCCACACUGUCUCCUCCCGAGACUCAGCGAAGUUGAAGUGGUUGUGAAGAUGCAAUCUACCCGCUGCUAGACGGAAAGACCCCGUGAACCUUUACUGUAGCUUUGCAUUGGACUUUGAAGUCACUUGUGUAGGAUAGGUGGGAGGCUUGGAAGCAGAGACGCCAGUCUCUGUGGAGUCGUCCUUGAAAUACCACCCUGGUGUCUUUGAGGUUCUAACCCAGACCCGUCAUCCGGGUCGGGGACCGUGCAUGGUAGGCAGUUUGACUGGGGCGGUCUCCUCCCAAAGCGUAACGGAGGAGUUCGAAGGUUACCUAGGUCCGGUCGGAAAUCGGACUGAUAGUGCAAUGGCAAAAGGUAGCUUAACUGCGAGACCGACAAGUCGGGCAGGUGCGAAAGCAGGACAUAGUGAUCCGGUGGUUCUGUAUGGAAGGGCCAUCGCUCAACGGAUAAAAGGUACUCCGGGGAUAACAGGCUGAUUCCGCCCAAGAGUUCAUAUCGACGGCGGAGUUUGGCACCUCGAUGUCGGCUCAUCACAUCCUGGGGCUGUAGUCGGUCCCAAGGGUAUGGCUGUUCGCCAUUUAAAGUGGUACGUGAGCUGGGUUUAAAACGUCGUGAGACAGUUUGGUCCCUAUCUGCAGUGGGCGUUGGAAGUUUGACGGGGGCUGCUCCUAGUACGAGAGGACCGGAGUGGACGAACCUCUGGUGUACCGGUUGUAACGCCAGUUGCAUAGCCGGGUAGCUAAGUUCGGAAGAGAUAAGCGCUGAAAGCAUCUAAGCGCGAAACUCGCCUGAAGAUGAGACUUCCCUUGCGGUUUAACCGCACUAAAGGGUCGUUCGAGACCAAGACGUUGAUAGGUGGGGUGUGGAAGCGCGGUAACGCGUGAAGCUAACCCAUACUAAUUGCCCGUGAGGCUUGACUCUAU
rnacentral:rRNA from 1 species